rnacentral:rRNA from 1 species
CAGCAGCCGCGGUAAAACGUAGGUGGCAAGCGUUGUCCGGAAUUAUUGGGCGUAAAGGGCUCGCAGGCGGUUUCUUAAGUCUGAUGUGAAAGCCCCCGGCUCAACCGGGGAGGGUCAUUGGAAACUGGGAAAUUUGAGUGCAGAAGAGGAGAGUGGAAUUCCACGUGUAGCGGUGAAAUGCGUAGAGAUGUGGAGGAACACCAGUGGCGAAGGCGACUCUCUGGUCUGUAACUGACGCUGAGGAGCGAAAGCGUGGGGAGCGAACAGGAUUAGAUACCCCCGUAGUCCCUGUCUCUUAUAC